rnacentral:rRNA from 1 species
GGACCUGACUGCUAUCGGAUUGAUACUAAGCCAUGCGAGUCUUUGUAGUAAUACAAGGCGGACGGCUCAGUAACACGUAGUCAAUCUAACCUAUGGACAGGGAUAACCUCGGGAAACUGAGAAUAAUACCUGAUAGAUCAUUAUACCUGGAAUGGUUUAUGGUCGAAAUGAUUUAUCGCCGUAGGAUGGGACUGCGGUCUAUCAGCUUGUUGGUGAGGUAAUGGCCCACCAAGGCUAUAACAGAUACGGGCUCUGAGAGGAGAAGCCCGGAGAUGGGUACUGAGACACGGACCCAGGCCCUAUGGGGCGCAGCAGGCGAGAAAACUUUGCAAUGUGCGAAAGCACGACAAGGUUAAUCCGAGUGUUUUCUGCUAAAGAAAUCUUUUGUCAGUCCUAAAAACACUGAUGAAUAAGGGGUGGGCAAGUUCUGGUGU